UUUUCCGCAUUGCUGCUGCUGCGUCAAACGCUGUCAACAUGGCGUCGGCGCUCGGUCGCCUGGCCAGGCUGUCGGCGCUCAGGACCGGGCUCACCUCUCGGCUGACCCCCUCCAGCGGGCCGGGGAGGACGGUGACUCCGGGCCGGACAGCCGUGUGCACCCCGUCCGGCGCCAUCCUGCCCAAACCCAAGAAGACCCCCUUCGGCCUCGUUCGGAUUGCUCUGGUCUUGGUGCCCUUCUUGUAUGUGGGGACUCUGAUCAGCAAGAGCUUUGCUGCGCUGCUGGAGGAGCACGACAUCUUCGUACCCGAGGACGACGACGAUGACGACUGAGGGGUGUGAAGCCUCCUGGUCCUCAGGUAUCACCGGUUUGGAUUGUGGAAAACCACACACACACUCUAACAGCUUAUAUGAUGUCAUCUUGUUUGUCACUACCGCUGGGACGAGUCCGUGAGCCUCCGAGCACAUAAAUGCCUUCCUGGUGUCCCCUCUGCUGUGUUGUUAAGUCUGCGCUGGGUUCAGGGUUUUUGCUGUAGUCCACGCCGAUAGGGGUGUCCCAGGCUGCUUACAUCGUACUGUAUCUGCAUGCACUACUGAAGUCUUAAUAAAGGGAAUGAUGAUUGUAAACUGCAGCACAUGGCUAAGUUUGUGCGUUCAAAACAGAGAUCAGUCCAUCAGGCACACGAAAUGCGAUGUUGGUGCUUUCCCUACAUAUAUGCAUUUGAGUGAAUGUAACACAUAAGCUUUGCUUUCUGACACAAGGCUGUCCCAAACACUACUUUGAAUAGGGAGCUGAAUAAGUCACAAUGCAUAUAUACUCAUAAAGUUCAUAAAAUACCACACCAGUUACUCCAUACCAUUUUAAAGGGACAGU